AGGUGUAGAUGGCAGGGCAACUCUGAAGAGCCAGUGCUUGGUGUGGGGAGGGAGGAUGUCUGCCCCCGCUGAGAGCCCGAGCGUUGCGGGAUUCUGGUAGGUUCACUUUGGUAAACCCAAGAGCAAGAGGAGAAACCACACAAUCGUGGCAUUUUUGAAGCCUGAGCCCACAGAGAAGAAGAAUAGGAUGGAGAAGAGACCAGGGCUCCGAAUGGACUUGACCACCAAUUAGCUGUGUCAUCUGGUGACUCAUUCAUCCUCUCUCGCUCUAACUCCUCUUCUGGAAAGCGAGGCAGUUGGAUUAAAGCAGUAGCUUUCAAAGUUAGAAAACAAAGGAACCUUUUAUCAAGCAAAAUCUCAUGAAGAAUUUCAAUUUCUAGAAUGGAAAAGCAGAGCCAGUCUGGUUGAAGCAGGGUGCAGAGGGCCUCCUGGUUUCCUCCUGGUCAUUCAGAUUGUCCCCUGACGCACUUCACCAGAACUUCCCAGGAUCACAGUUUGAAAGCACAGAGGAAGCUGAUUUCGAUGGCCCUACUAGCCCUGCCUCAAGGUGUAGCAUUUCAGGCCCUCCUGGCCACCCAUUGAAUCAGAAUGUGCAUGCUAACAAGAUGCCCAGGAGAUUCCUUCAGGAACACUCGAGAGAGGUGCUUCACCCCAUUUUAUAGACAACAAACUGGGUACCAGAGAAGCUCAGUGACAGUGGCCAGCUCCUAAGUGGCCGGGCUGUGCCGUCAUCCUGACUUUCCAGCGGGGAUCAUUGCACUGUCGUGAAGGUGACCUGAGCUGAGGAAGACAGCGGACACAGACUGGCAGGACCCGUGAGGUAUGAGACGAAGCACUGGAGCAGAGGUGCGGAGGGUUGAGUCUCCAGGGAAAGAAGAGGGGACACACUGGAGCUGAUUCUAUUGGACAAAGAGUAUCACACAUAUCUGCAAUACGUAUGGCACAAGGGAAGAAAAUGAUGGUUUAAGUUGAAGACGGGAGGAUUCUGAGAGAAAACAACAGGAAACAAUUACAGAACAAUACAAUGCAGCAUGUAACCCGGAAUGAGACUGUGAGUUACGGACGAUGUGAAUCACAGAAAUCCACUGGAAAGGCUUGGGCACUGUGGGCUGGAAGAUCAGAGUGGACAAACAUGUCAAAGCUGGAAGAGCCCUGGAAAUCAUGUAGUUCAAACUUUUUGCUGUUUUUCCAAACGGAACUCCAUUUUACAAAUGAGGAGACUGAGGCUCAGAAAGGUGAAGUCACUUAGCUGGGGUCACAGGGUGAAUGAGUGACAGAACUAUAAUGAAAUACGUAAAAAAUGGCAGAAGCAGCCAAGAGGUGGUUGAGCAAAGUCAAGAAUGAUGUAGUAAUAGCAGUAAUCAUUAUUAUAAAAAAUGUUCACUGAG